CCUGGCGGCCUUAGCGCGGUGGUCCCACCUGACCCCAUGCCGAACUCAGAAGUGAAACGCCGUAGCGCCGAUGGUAGUGUGGGGUCUCCCCAUGCGAGAGUAGGGAACUGCC
rnacentral:rRNA from 1 species